rnacentral:rRNA from 1 species
UACAGAGGGGGCAAGCGUUGUUCGGAAUUACUGGGCGUAAAGGGCGCGUAGGCGGCCCGCUAAGUCGAACGUGAAAUCCCCGAGCUCAACUCGGGAACUGCGUCCGAUACUGGCGGGCUUGAAUCCGGGAGAGGGAUGUGAGUACUACGUGAGUGAGAGCGGUGAAAUGCGUAGAUAUCUGGAGGAACACCGGUGGCGAAGGCGGCAUCCUGGACCGGCUAUUGACGCUGAGGCGCGAAAAGCGUGGGGGAGCAAACAGG